CGCGGAAUGACGAGCAAUUGGACGCUCAUCUGACUCAUUAUCAGAGGUAUGCAGGUUCGAAUCCUGCUUCCGCAA
rnacentral:tRNA from 1 species